GGCCUGGUAGCACAGCUGGAUAGUGCAUCUGUUACGUUUCAGACGGAAAAUUUCCUUACUACAGAAGGUCCCCGUUCAAUUCGGGGUCAGGUCU